GAAUUCGAUUCUCCUGGAAACGGGUGGUAAUGCCGGAUGCUCCGGCCCAUCGCAUGGUGGGCCGGGAAAGAUUUCAUCGGUAUGGGAUGGGGUCGCGUCCUAUCAGGUAGUCGGCGGGGUGACGGCCCACCGAGCCUACGACGGGUAGCCGGCCUGAGAGGGCGACCGGCCACAUUGGGACUGAGAUACGGCCCAGACUCCUACGGGAGGCAGCAGUGGGGAAUAUUGCACAAUGGGCGCAAGCCUGAUGCAGCGACGCCGCGUGCGGGAUGGAGGCCUUCGGGUUGUAAACCGCUUUUGAUCGGGAGCAAGCCGGCUUGUCCGGUGAGUGUACCCUUCGAAUAAGCACCGGCUAACUACGUGCCAGCAGCCGCGGUAAUACGUAGGGUGCAAGCGUUAUCCGGAAUUAUUGGGCGUAAAGGGCUCGUAGGCGGUUCGUCGCGUCCGGUGUGAAAGCCCAUCGCUUAACGGUGGGUCUGCGCCGGGUACGGGCGGGCUGGAGUGCGGUAGGGGAGACUGGAAUUCCCGGUGUAACGGUGGAAUGUGUAGAUAUCGGGAAGAACACCAAUCACUAGUG
rnacentral:rRNA from 1 species